CCUACGGGUGGCAGCAGUGAGGAAUAUUGGUCAAUGGACGAGAGUCUGAACCAGCCAAGUAGCGUGAAGGAUGACUGCCCUAUGGGUUGUAAACUUCUUUUAUAUGGGAAUAAAAUGUUCCACGUGUGGGAUUUUGUAUGUACCAUAUGAAUAAGGAUAGGCUAAAUCCGUGCCAGCAGCCGCGGUAAUACGGAGGAUCCGAGCGUUAUCCGGAUUUAUUGGGUUUAAAGGGAGCGUAGGUGGAUUGUUAAGUCUGUUGUGAAAGUUUGCGGCUCAACCGUAAAAUUGCAGUUGAAACUGGCAGUCUUGAGUACAGUAGAGGUGGGCGGAAUUCGUGGUGUAGCGGUGAAAUGCUUAGAUAUCACGAAGAACUCCGAUUGCGAAGGCAGUUCACUGGACUGCAACUGACACUGAGGCUCGAAAGUGUGGGUAUCAAACAGGAUUAGAUACCCGGGUAGUC
rnacentral:rRNA from 1 species